rnacentral:lncRNA from 1 species
GGAUCUAAACUGACCCUGAGGGAGGAGACUCAUCCCCAAUGGCUGUCCAAGCCUGAUACUGCCUAUCUAGCUACCUAACAUUCGCCUCUACAAGAACCAAAGGCUCUGGGAAGCAUUUACACCAACAGAGAGGGAUCAUUCACCAACUUCCGGUGAGGGAUGGAGAGCCAAUCGUUGAUCAGUGGCCAGAAGAUGGAUCUGUUGCAGCCUGCUCCUGGGUCAUAUAAAGACACCUUUGGAGAAAACAGCUUCAUAGAGCCUGACCCCUUCCCUCCUGUAACUGGUGUGGCAGAUGAAAGAGACACUUAUAGCUCUCAAUGUUCAAUGUGGCUAUCAGAAUACUGGAACAACAGGACCUAAGGAUGAUGGAAGUUCCCCAGAAAUCUUGUGCUGGGAAAAGAAAGGGCACCAGCCAGAGGACGAACUUUUUUGGCGAGGGAAUUUCCAAUUUAGAGAUGAGACUAAAACCCAGAAAGUGACGAGACAAUGUUAGGUGUGAUGGCGUCUUACCCAGGUCUGCUCACGUGUGCUCAUGUGUGCACACCCUUGGCAUUUAAGCUAUGAUUGAACUUCAGGGCCCUGACGACAGACUUGAGGGCUUUGCUGGGUCUCUAUCCCCAGCUUCUCAAUGUGGCCACAUUGAAUAAAACUCCUCUUUCUGUUUUNN